CCUACGGGAGGCUGCAGUGGGGAAUAUUGGACAAUGGGGGGAACCCUGAUCCAGCCAUGCCGCGUGUGUGAAGAAGGCCCUCGGGUUGUAAAGCACUUUCAGUGAGGAAGAACGCCUGGUGGUUAAUACCCAUCAGGAAAGACAUCACUCACAGAAGAAGCACCGGCUAACUCCGUGCCAGCAGCCGCGGUAAUACGGGGGGUGCGAGCGUUAAUCGGAAUUACUGGGCGUAAAGCGCGCGUAGGUGGCUUGAUAAGCCGGUUGUGAAAGCCCCGGGCUCAACCUGGGAACGGCAUCCGGAACUGUCAAGCUAGAGUGCAGGAGAGGAAGGUAGAAUUCCCGGUGUAGCGGUGAAAUGCGUAGAGAUCGGGAGGAAUACCAGUGGCGAAGGCGGCCUUCUGGACUGACACUGACACUGAGGUGCGAAAGCGUGGGUAGCAAACAGGAUUAGAUACCCCGGUAGUC
rnacentral:rRNA from 1 species